AACGAACGCUGGCGGCAGGCCUAACACAUGCAAGUCGAGCGAGGACUUCGGUCCUAGCGGCGGACGGGUGAGUAACGCGUGGGAACGUGCCCUUUGGUACGGAAUAGCCCCGGGAAACUGGGAGUAAUACCGUAUGGUGUCUUCGGACUAAAGAUUUAUCGCCAAAGGAUCGGCCCGCGUUGGAUUAGGUAGUUGGUGGGGUAAUGGCCUACCAAGCCGACGAUCCAUAGCUGGUUUGAGAGGAUGAUCAGCCACACUGGGACUGAGACACGGCCCAGACUCCUACGGGAGGCAGCAGUGGGGAAUCUUAGACAAUGGGGGCAACCCUGAUCUAGCCAUGCCGCGUGAGUGAUGAAGGCCCUAGGGUUGUAAAGCUCUUUCAGCUGGGAAGAUAAUGACGGUACCAGCAGAAGAAGCCCCGGCUAACUCCGUGCCAGCAGCCGCGGUAAAGUCAGUG
rnacentral:rRNA from 1 species